AUUGAACGCUGGCGGCAGGCUUAACACAUGCAAGUCGAGCGGGGGAAGGUAGCUUGCUAUUGGACCUAGCGGCGGACGGGUGAGUAAUGCUUAGGAAUCUGCCUAUUAGUGGGGGACAACAUCUCGAAAGGGAUGCUAAUACCGCAUACGUCCUACGGGAGAAAGCAGGGGAUCUUCGGACCUUGCGCUAAUAGAUGAGCCUAAGUCGGAUUAGCUAGUUGGUGGGGUAAAGGCCUACCAAGGCGACGAUCUGUAGCGGGUCUGAGAGGAUGAUCCGACACACUGGGACUGAGACACGGCCCAGACUCCUACGGGAGGCAGCAGUGGGGAAUAUUGGACAAUGGGGGGAACCCUGAUCCAGCCAUGCCGCGUGUGUGAAGAAGGCCUUAUGGUUGUAAAGCACUUUAAGCGAGGAGGAGGCUCUUUUGGUUAAUACCCAAGAUGAGUGGACGUUACUCGCAGAAUAAGCACCGGCUAACUCUGUGCCAGCCGCCGCCGUAA
rnacentral:rRNA from 1 species